GAUGAACGCUGGCGGCGUGCCUAAUACAUGCAAGUCGAGCGAACAGACGAGGAGCUUGCUCCUCUGACGUUAGCGGCGGACGGGUGAGUAACACGUGGAUAACCUACCUAUAAGACUGGGAUAACUUCGGGAAACCGGAGCUAAUACCGGAUAAUAUAUUGAACCGCAUGGUUCAAUAGUGAAAGACGGUUUUGCUGUCACUUAUAGAUGGAUCCGCGCCGCAUUAGCUAGUUGGUAAGGUAACGGCUUACCAAGGCAACGAUGCGUAGCCGACCUGAGAGGGUGAUCGGCCACACUGGAACUGAGACACGGUCCAGACUCCUACGGGAGGCAGCAGUAGGGAAUAUUCCGCAAUGGGCGAAAGCCUGACGCAGCAACGCCGCGUGAGUGAUGAAGGUCUUCGGAUCGUAAAACUCUGUUAUUAGGGAAGAACAAAUGUGUAAGUAACUCUGCACGUCUUGACGGUACCUAAUCAGAAAGCAACGGCUAACUACGUG
rnacentral:rRNA from 1 species